UGAAAUUUGACAGUCUGACAUUGAAAAUGUAAACAGAUCAAAAUCCAGCAGAUAUUCUCUUUUUCCAUAGUUAUGAUGACUGAAAAAAGGACAUAAUCAUUUUUUCAUCAUCUUACCGCGGCCAACUAUCAAUACAAUUAUUGAUGGAUUUACGAAUUAAUUUUGAGUUGCAGUUUAACUGUCUUUUUAGCUAUGUUGAUGAAUUUAAAGUUGUAGAUGAACUUUUUUUUGCAAUGUUGAUUUAUGUGCAUAACAUACCAUCUCAUGAGGUUCAGGUCAAGCACCUGCUGUACAUAGAACAACAAUCCAUAACAGCUUUGACUAUGCCGAGCAGGUCUUCUACCCAUACUAGGCACAGCAAGAGUGCCCUGCUUUCUGUAAAUCAUAUGGUUCACAGAUAUCUCAGUGAUAAGUGUUUAGCUGUUAUGUGGCCAAUGGUGUGGUACCUUAUUUUCAACAUCAUCCAUAUAGAAAAGACUCUGCAUACCUGCACAUUGACAACUUUGUUGGGUGGAAUAAAAACAAUGCAGUCAUUGGGGUCUGAUGUAUUCUGAAGGGAGAGACACAGCAUUUACUUAAAUGGAAGCAGGUGACAUAAAGUUCAGUCAUGUGUGAGAUUUGGUCUGUGGAAGACCAAAUGGAGGCAGCACACAUCCUUUGUGGAUUGAUGACCUUGGCAAACUGGUUAUAUUCUUUGACUGGUUGGAGUACACCAAGUGACCCCUGAAGUCCAUUCCAAACGUGAGGAAAUAUCAUCACUUCAGAACUUCAGCUGACAACCCAGUGAGUGAAUUCAUGAGAGAGCAUGCCAAGGACAGUGAGAUUGAAGUUAAAAUUGACAAGCCCACAACAAUGGCUUUUCCAUGAAGAGUACCCUGAAUGCAUCCAACUAAAAGAACUUAAUGCAAAAAGGCUCUGAUCCUUUAAAUAAGUGAAAAAACUAAUAUACUGAUAUGUGAUCUUUAUAAACUAAAUAUAAGAUUUGAAAAUGAGCCCGUUACUGAGCUGAUGAAAACGUGUAUCAUUUUUUUAUUGACAGUUAUUUAUUCAAUAGAAACAUGUUUAUGUGAUUUUGAGUGAAAAAACUGUGGUUUUAGCAAAUGAUUGAUAGAAGGGUGCUACACCCUGUCUUUUGUUGGUAGAGCCCCUCUGCCAUAAUGGAGACCACUAUAUGUUUAUUAUUAAUACAAACUUAAAACAA